rnacentral:rRNA from 1 species
UACGUAGGCAGCAAGCGUUGUUCGGAAUUACUGGGCGUAAAGAGUGUGUAGGCGGUGCUCCAAGUCUGGUGUGAAAUCUCCCGGCUUAACUGGGAGGGUGCAUUAGAAACUGGAAUGCUAGAGGAUGGGAGAGGUAAGCGGAAUUCCUGGUGUAGCGGUGAAAUGCGUAGAUAUCAGGAGGAACACCUGUGGUGUAGACAGCUUACUGGACCAUUUCUGACGCUGCGACACGAAAGCGUGGGUAGCAAACAGG